AAAAUGGCUGUAAGGUCACCUCCAUGGUCAAAGUCUUCAUUUGAAGAGCACAGAUCUUCUUGGCAACUUUGUUGAAAAUAAAUUGGCAAAAAGUAUACAUCACUUAGAUGAAUGAUACUUCAGGAGCAGUUCACGUCAUUCAUUUUCCUUCGAAGGCCUCCUCCAAUAUUGUCGAAAAUCUGUUCUUGCUGCCCAACUCCCUGAAUCUUAUGCUAAUACUCAUUGCCUGUAUUUCUCAAGUGAAUGAAUGUAUGA